rnacentral:lncRNA from 1 species
AUGAGAGCAAUGCAUUCCUUUUUUACAUGCUGCUUUGCACAUUUUACUCAUUUUAGUUCAUUUUAUAUUUCACAUACUUGUAUUUACUGGCUGACAAUUCACAUACAGUUUGUAAUUCUCUAUUGCAGGAAGAAAUUAAGCUACAACAACAGUAAGCAGAUGAGCAGAGACCGUUGCCACCAGAGGGACACGACAACACUGGCAGCCUUGUGAUCAGCAGCAGCAGCAGCAUCAGGAUGACGGGAGGCUCGAUAGAAUCCGCUUCUUCUUGAAUUUCUCACUUUCAUGACUGUCUUUCACACUGCCGUUUAUCCUGUAGCAGACCUGCUGUCAUAUUAAGUCACUCUGAGCAGGAAAGUAUUAGCGAGUUUUAGUUUAGAUUACUGUGUGCUAGCAGCUGAGAUAGCAGCUUUUUAAUGCUUUUGUAAAAAAAACUACAGCUUAUGUAGAUUCUGUAGCAUGCAGAAUGUUCAGGCAGCAUUCACUUUUAAAUGGUAGCAUUUUAUACAUUUUGUAAAGUCUUCAUCAUUGUUUGUAAAGCAGUGAUUCACUGAUGAGCCAAAACGAACGUUUUGAGCUAAAAUUCAAGUUUAGAGAACACAUGACUGACAGCCUGUUUUCUUUUUUUUGUUGUUGUUUUCUUUUGUUUUGUUUUUUUCUUUUUUAAUCAAAUAAACUUUAUUUAGACUUU